GACGAACGCUGGCGGCGUGCCUAAUACAUGCAAGUCGAACGCAGUGGGGACGGGUGAGUAACACGUGGGUAACCUCCCCUCAGAGGUGAUAACACUUGGAAACAGGUCCCAAACCGAUACUGAUGGAUGGACCCGCGGUGCAUUAGCUAGUGGGUGAGGGAACGGCUCACCAAGGCCACGAUGCAUAGCCGGCCGGAGAGGUGGACCUGCAACACUUGGACUGAGACACGGCCCAGACUCCUACGGGAGGCAGCAGUAGGGAAUAUUCGGCAAUGGACGAAAGUCUGACCGAGCAACGCCGCGUGAGUGAAGAAGGUUUUCGGAUCGUAAAGCUCUGUUGGUAGAGAAGCGGUAUCUAACCAGAAAGCCACGGCUAACUACGUGCCAGCAGCCGCGGUAAUAC
rnacentral:rRNA from 1 species